AAAUGCUGAUGGAAAAAUGGUGCUGACUUGGUCCAUGCAGGACUGCCACAGACCUUCAAUUUGUAAAACACACAGGAUCUGUGAUGCACUAUAAAAUGAAGCACUAUGAAACAAGGUAUCAAAGAAAAACUGUACUGGACAGAAUUAAACAAGCAAGGAAGACCUUAUUCAACAAUAUUGUGUUAAGGAAUUGAGAUUGAAUGCCACUCCACUAAAUCGACCUCCUGAAACAUUUCAAGUCACCAAGGAACUCUUAGCC